rnacentral:rRNA from 1 species
AGCCAGCUGCGUGAAUUAAUGUGAAUUGCAGGACACAUUGAACAUCGAUAUCUUGAACGCACAUUGCGGCCUCGGGCAAUCCCGAGGCCACGCCUGUCUCAGGGUCG